AUUGAACGCUGGCGGCAUGCCUUACACAUGCAAGUCGAGCGGAUGAAGGGAGCUUGCUCCUGGAUUCAGCGGCGGACGGGUGAGUAAUGCCUAGGAAUCUGCCUGGUAGUGGGGGACAACGUUUCGAAAGGAACGCUAAUACCGCAUACGUCCUACGGGAGAAAGCAGGGGACCUUCGGGCCUUGCGCUAUCAGAUGAGCCUAGGUCGGAUUAGCUAGUUGGUGAGGUAAUGGCUCACCAAGGCGACGAUCCGUAACUGGUCUGAGAGGAUGAUCAGUCACACUGGAACUGAGACACGGUCCAGACUCCUACGGGAGGCAGCAGUGGGGAAUAUUGGACAAUGGGCGAAAGCCUGAUCCAGCCAUGCCGCGUGUGUGAAGAAGGUCUUCGGAUUGUAAAGCACUUUAAGUUGGGAGGAAGGGUUGUAGAUUAAUACUCUGCAAUUUUGACGUUACCGACAGAAUAAGCACCGGCUAACUCUGUGCCAGCCGCCGCAGUAA
rnacentral:rRNA from 1 species